GAUGAACGCUAGCGGCAGGCUUAACACAUGCAAGUCGAGGGGUAAGUCAUUUCGGUGACUGAGAACGGCGCACGGGUGCGUAACGCGUAUGUAAUCUACCUUUUACAGGGGGAUAGCCCAGCGAAAUUUGGAUUAAUACCCCAUAGUAUUAUUGAAUGGCAUCAUUUAAUAAUUAAAGUUCCAACGGUACAAGAUGAGCAUGCGUCCCAUUAGCUAGAUGGUAAGGUAACGGCUUACAAUGGCGACGAUGGGGAGGGUUCCUGAGAGGGAGAUCCCCCACACUUGUACUGAGACACUGACCAGACUCCUACGGGAGGCAGCAGUGAGGAAAAUUGGUCAAUGGGCGCAAGCCUGAACCAGCCAUGCCGCGUGCAGGAUGGCGGUCCUAUGGAUUGUAAACUGCUUUUGUACGGGAAGAAACACUCCUACGUGUAGGAACUUGACGGUACCGUAAGAAUAAGGAUCGGCUAACUCCGUGCCAGCCGCCGCAGUAAUAC
rnacentral:rRNA from 1 species